rnacentral:rRNA from 1 species
AGCCUACCCUAGCCCCACCAACCAAAAUCAACAAACCCACCACCCCACCCAAAUAAAACAUUUCCCCAAGCCUAGUAUAGGAGAUAAAAAAGCAUAACCAGGGCGCCAUAGUGAAAGUACCGCAAGGGAAAGAUGAAAUAGCAAUGACUAACUCCAAGCACCAUACAGCAAAGAUAAACCCUUGUACCUCUUGCAUUAUGAUCUAGCGAGCAUUCCCCAGACAAAGAGCACUUAAGCCUGUCACCCCGAAACCCAAGCGAGCUACUCACAAGCGGCUACUCUGAGCCACAACCCAUCCCUGUUGCAAAAGGGUGGGUAGACUUGUUAGUAGUGGUGAAAAGCCUACCGAGCUGGGAGAUAGCUGGUUGCCUGUGAGACGAAUUUAAGUUCUUCCCCAGCCCCUUCCACCAGGACACCCAACCCCCUAUGAAACAGGCUAGGAGCUAUUCAAAGGGGGUACAGCCCCUUUAAAAAAGGAUACAACCUCCGCCAGCGGAUAAACCCAACCCAUCCAACCCACCGUGGGCUUUAAAGCAGCCACCCCUAAAGAGUGCGUCAAAGCUCCAAGAAAAAAAUUCACAAACCAACGCGACUCCCUACCCCCCAACAGGCUAACCUAUCCCCAUAGAUGAACCAAUGCUAGAACGAGUAACCAGGACACCAAUCCCCUUAAGCGCCAGCUUACCAACACCAUUAACAGCACUCCCUCAACGCUUUCCCCCCCCCCCCCCCGACCAAGCAUUGAACACACCCUGUUAACCCAACACCGGGGCGCACAAAUAGGCCGAUUCAAGUCUGCAGAAGGAACUCGGCAAACACAGGGCCCGACUGUUUACCAAAAACAUAGCCUUCAGCCAGCCAAGUAUUGGAGGUGACGCCUGCCCAGUGACAUUACGUUCAACGGCCGCGGUAUCCUAACCGUGCAAAGGUAGCGCAAUCAAUUGUCUCAUAAAUCGAGACUUGUAUGAACGGCAUAACGAGGUCCUAACUGUCUCCUGCAGACAAUCAGUGAAACUGAUCUCCCUGUGCAAAAGCAGGAAUACGCCCACUAGACGAGAAGACCCUGUGGAACUUUAAAAUCAAUAGCCACCACCCACCUCAACCCUAAGCCUAACAGGCCCACCCCGCAACCCUGGCUAACAUUUUUCGGUUGGGGCGACCUUGGAGGAAAACAAAACCUCCAAAACCCAGGGUCAUCCAUCCCUAACCAAGAUCCACCUCUCAACGUGCUAACAGCCCACACAGACCCAAUAAAAUUGAACAAUGGACCAAGCUACCCCAGGGAUAACAGCGCAAUCUCCCCCAAGAGCCCCUAUCGACGGGGAGGUUUACGACCUCGAUGUUGGAUCAGGACACCCUAGUGGUGCAGCCGCUACCAAGGGUUCGUUUGUUCAACGAUUAACAGUCCUACGUGAUCUGAGUUCAGACCGGAGCAAUCCAGGUCGGUUUCUAUCUGUGAUCGGCUUUCCCCAGUACGAAAGGACCGGAAAAGCAGGGCCAAUGCCACAAGCACGCCCUCCCCAACAAGUGAUGCCCCCUACUAAAUCACCAAGAGGACCCCCACAACCCCACAGAACCAUGGCC